rnacentral:lncRNA from 1 species
CCCGCGCCCCCGGCCCGUCACCUUCCCUGCUCUGCCGCAGUGCCUCCCGCUCGCACUCUCUUGCCGUCCUGCAGCGUUUUCCAGCCCCGCCGCAGGACCAGCUGUCCGGUACCUGUGGCACUGCUCUCUGCACCUAGUCCACCCGCAGCCUCCCUCCUGUGGCUUCACGGCCCCACAACCUCGGGCUGCGGGCGGGGGCACGGCGAGAGCCGGCUGCCGCGCGUGGAGGGGUGCGG